UAACUAGCCAAACUUUUGAAAAUGUUAUUUUUCUGUAGAUUUUACCCUCUGAAAUCUUCUCUUCAUAUAUUUUCAGCUGCUUAUUAUUUCUGCUGGUUGUAAUUCUCUGUGUCUUGUGUCGUUUUUGUGUCCUUUGUGUUUUAUGGCUUCUGAUCGUGCACUGAUCAAUCAUGUUCUUGAGCACUUUUUCUGAGGGAAUUUUUUUAAAGCUGGAGCUAAAUUUGUUUCUGCUGGGUACUUCAUUUGUUUCUGCUGAUUAGUUCGGGGUACUACCAAUCUGGAAUCACUUAGCUUAAUUUACCACUUGAAGUACUUCAACUGCCUUGUUGUGAUUCAGAGCUUCAGCCCAUGCCAGAGUUAGCUUUGAUUAUGGGUUCCCAGGGGAAUCCUCUCCCUUGAUUCAGGACCACAGUUGAAAGAGGCACUUUGAAAUACCAUUGUUUGAGGAUUUUUCUAAAAAAAUAUUUUUAACUAUUCAACUCUACAAUGAGAUGGAGACCUUUGUCUUCCAACUUAAUUAGAGUUUCUUAUUAUAUUCACUGCAUUGUGUAGGAUCUGAGUUUUGUAUUUGUCACCCUCUAGAAUGCACAAUGCAGAAGUUCAGUGUUUCAGGAAUUUGGCAGAAACUGGCCCAGUGAAAGGUCUUACAGCAUUCCCUUCUGCUCAAAGGGAGAACUGCCCAGUCUCCUUUCUAAGGCGAAUCAUGCCACCCGCACAUUGUCAAUCAUAUUGCUGCCCGUCACCUCUGAAUAAUUCUUUUUCUUUUUAUCAGUUAACGCAGCAUUUGUUAUCUAACACAAUUCCCAAAGGUCUUCUGAGCACUUCCUGGAGUUGUUAUGUGUGUGAGUCAGGAUAUCAGCAAACGUAUUUGGAGGAGGUUAACAAUUUGUUCUAAUAAAUUCAUCAAUUAAGCCCAGUAACUCCUGAAUGAGGGAGAAAAGAGAAUUGAAUCAAGUGAGUUAGACAGAUGCCUUAAAACUUAACUUUCAAAUGGAAUUGAUUCCUAUGGAAUGCAAAAUCCCUGCAAACACAGUAAGUGAAAUUUAGCUGUAAAAUGCAUCUUAUGUGAUGUACUCCAAAGAGAUAAUACACACACAAAUAUACCUAGCAAAUAGAAAUUAACAUGUAUGUAAGUUCAAAGGUAAUCUACUCUGUGAAUUAACAUGAUAGAACUAUUGAGAAUGAAUAAGGAAUGCAUGAAACAUUUAAUAGCAAACGAUUGUUAAUAUUGCCCAGUUUUUAAAAACUGAUGUAGUUUUCACAUCCCAUGCAAUAAUUGAAAAUGCUAUUUGAUCCUUUGGUUGUACCAUAAUCAGCUAGCUUUCAAGUGAUUAAAAUUAUUCCUGUCUUUUUCCUUCUUUCUUUUCUUUUCUUCUUUCCAGCUGCCAGAUGGAGAUGUGUGUGUUGGCCUCCACCACAUCAUCAACAUCUCUGCUCAAAUUCUAGUGAGCUCUGAGUGCUCCAUUACCCAUUGCAUUCUGCCCCAUUUGAUCCAGGCGCGUUUGCCACUUUGAUGCCUUCACAGUACAAACAAGGUGCACUAAUCAAAGCUUCCCUGUUCCAUCCUGCAGGAACCUCUCAUCACUGCCGUGGUUUCAAAUCUGGUGCACAACAUUACCACUUCAUUUUGUUCCCUUUGAUCCUAUCAGCCUGACACUUUGAUCCAGGCAUUGCGCUAACUGGACUCAUCAAAGCUUUUACACUUUUGUUUUUGACAGGCAGUGACAAAGAUUCCAGCAGGACUAAAGGGCUUUACUUUUCCUGUUUCUGCUGAAUUUUCAGUAUCAAUUAUUUGCUACUUAAUUCUCAUUCUAGAACAUGUUCAUUAAUUUUAUCGGUGUUGUAUUUUAAAAUGUACAUUUGUUUUUGACGAAGGCUUGCCCAAAGCAAUUAAAUAUAUCCAUAUCAGCGUUGUAUAUCCAUAAUUGUUUAAUGCACCACAGGUGUUUAAUUCAUGAAUCUUAAAUCAAUGAAGCUUAAUGGAAACAAUGUGUAAAGCAGCAGUACUAACAUGAACUAGAAAAUUUUAGAGCUCCAUCUUGGGAAAAUAUGUUUCAUCUAAUGACCUUUAUCAGAAAAUACUUUUUGUCUUACCAUGAUAUAAUUAGAAAGACUUCUGCAUGUGUUUUAAAUAAAGGACUGACUGUCCCAGUAAGAAUGGAAAAA
rnacentral:lncRNA from 1 species